CUUAGAUCGGAUACCUUGGGAACUGAGAUUAAUACUGGAUAGGGAAAUUGCACUGGAAUGUCUUUUUCCUCAAACGCAAGGUCUAAGGAUGAGUCAGCGGUGGAUUAGCUUGUUGGCGGGGUAACGGCCCACCAAGGCGAAGAUCCAUAGGGGCCAUGAGAGUGGUAGCCCCGAGAAGGACACUGAGAUACUGGUCCUAGCCCUACGGGGUGCAGCAGUCGCGAAAACUUGUCAAUGCACGAAAGUGUGAACAGGGAAUCCUGAGUGCUCAUGUUUUACAUGGGCUUUUGCCAAGAGCUAAUAUCUUGGCGAAUAAGUGGUGGGUAAGACGGGUGCCAGCCGCCGCGGUAACCCCCGCGCCACUAGUGGGGAUCACAAUUAUUUGGUCUAAAGCGUCCGUAGCCGGUCUUGCAAAUUCUCUGUGAAAUCGUUCAGCUUAACUGAACGGCGGGCAGAGGGGACUGCUAGACUUGGAACCAGGAAGGGUCAGAAGUAUUCUUGAGGGAGCGGUAAAAUGUUAUAAUCUCAAGAGGACUACCGAUGGCGAAGGCAUCUGACUGGAAUGGAUUCGACGGUGAGGGACGAAAGCCAGGGGAGCAAACCGGAUUAGAUACCCGAGUAGUCCUGGCCGUAAACGCUGCGAGCAAGGCGUUGCGCAUUCUUCAUGAAUGUGCAGUGUCGAAACGAAGAUGUUAAGCUCGCCACCUGGGAAGUACGGCCGCAAGACUGAAACUUAAAGGAAUUGGCGGGGGAGCAC
rnacentral:rRNA from 1 species